rnacentral:rRNA from 1 species
AUAACAGUUGGAAACGACUGCUAAUACCGCAUAAGCGCACGGUAUCGCAUGAUACAGUGUGAAAACUCCGGUGGUAUAAGAUGGACCCCGCGUCUGAUUAGCUAGUUGGUGAGGUAACGGCCCACCAAGGCGACGAUCAGUAGCCGGCCUGAGAGGGUGAACGGCCACAUUGGGACUGAGACACGGCCCAAACUCCUACGGGAGGCAGCAGUGGGGAAUAUUGCACAAUGGGGGAAACCCUGAUGCAGCGACGCCGCGUGAGUGAUGAAGUAUUUCGGUAUGUAAAACUCUAUCAGCAGGGAAGAUAAUGACGGUACCUGACUAAGAAGCACCGGCUAAAUACGUG